rnacentral:snoRNA from 1 species
UGGAUUGAUGGUGACUACAGGUGACAUAUGAGACACGUAGGAUGAAUAUGUGUCUGCACCUCUGAGGUCCAA